GAGGACGAACGCUGGCGGCGUGCCUAACACAUGCAAGUCGAGCGGGGACUUGCGACGGAUUGAAGUUUCGGAUGGAAAUGAAGAUGUAAAGUUCUAGCGGCGGACGGGUGAGUAACGCGUGAGCAACCUGUCCCUUACAGGGGGAUAACACAGCGAAAGUUGUACUAAUACCGCAUGAGACCACGGUGGGACAUCUCACAGGGGUCAAAGGAGCAAUCCGGUAAGGGGUGGGCUCGCGUCCGAUUAGAUAGUUGGUGAGGUAACGGCCCACCAAGUCGACGAUCGGUAGCCGACCUGAGAGGGUGAUCGGCCACAUUGGGACUGAGACACGGCCCAAACUCCUACGGGAGGCAGCAGUGGGGAAUAUUGGGCAAUGGGGGAAACCCUGACCCAGCAACGCCGCGUGAGGGAAGAAGGUUUUCGGAUCGUAAACCUCUGUCCUUGGUGAAGAGGAAGAGACGGUAGCCAAGGAGGAAGCCCCGGCUAACUACGUGCCAGCCGCAGC
rnacentral:rRNA from 1 species